rnacentral:sRNA from 1 species
UUUUUGCGUUAACGAUAGUAGCGGCAUCCUUUUUUCAUUUCAGAAAAAAGAUACAGCGGAUAGCGUGUUAAAAC